CGGGAUGUAGCGCAGCUUGGUAGCGCACUACACUGGGGGUGUAGUGGUCGUCGGUUCAAAUCCGGCCAUCCCGACCA
rnacentral:tRNA from 1 species